CGGCCGCGUCGACCAGGAUUAGAUACCCUGGUAGUCCACGCCGUAAACGAUGUCGACUAGCCGUUGGGAUCCUUGAGAUCUUAGUGGCGCAGCUAACGCAUUAAGUCGACCGCCUGGGGAGUACGGCCGCAAGGUUAAAACUCAAAUGAAUUGACGGGGGCCCGCACGCGUCAACUGAAACGUAAGCGAGACAUCUCGUAGGGUGCGCUCUGCGCACCAACGUGAUGUAUAUGGACGCCCCCUCCGGACCAUUUCGCGCUGUUAUCCGCUCGGUGCGUGGAACGUACCCUACAGAGCUCGAGCUUCGUACCCGGCGCGCCAUGUCCCCAGGAAGCGGACAGCGUUGCUUCCUCACUCCAGUUCGUAGAAAUAGAUCUUCUCUGCCGACAUACGAUGUCGACG
rnacentral:rRNA from 1 species